UGCAAGUCGAACGAUGAAGCCUGGCUUGCUGGGUGGAUUAGUGGCGAACGGGUGAGUAACACGUGAGCAACCUGCCCCUGACUCUGGGAUAAGCGCUGGAAACGGCGUCUAAUACUGGAUAUGUCCCAUCACCGCAUGGUGUGUGGGUGGAAAGAUUUUUCGGUUGGGGAUGGGCUCGCGGCCUAUCAGCUUGUUGGUGAGGUAAUGGCUCACCAAGGCGUCGACGGGUAGCCGGCCUGAGAGGGCGACCGGCCACACUGGGACUGAGACACGGCCCAGACUCCUACGGGAGGCAGCAGUGAG
rnacentral:rRNA from 1 species